rnacentral:rRNA from 1 species
UAAUGUAUGGGGAUCUGCCUGAUGGCGGGGGGUAACUACUGGAAACGGUAGCUAAUACCGCAUAAUGUCUGCGGACCAAAGCGGGGGACCUCCGGGCCUCGCGCCAUCAGAUGAACCCAUAUGGGAUUAGCUAGUAGGUGGGGUAACGGCUCACCUAGGCGACGAUCCCUAGCUGGUCUGAGAGGAUGAUCAGCCACACUGGGACUGAGACACGGCCCAG